AUCAAAUUUAACAUUCUAAAAUGUUCACACUAAACUAGGAAAAAUAGCAUUUCUACUUUCAUAACUGACAAGUAUCCUUCUUUAGACUACAACACUAAAUCUUUGAAAUUCAAAAGGCAUCUUUGGAUAUGUAAAGAAUGGUGCUCCCUGGCUGAGUCUGCACCAACAAUGGAUAUCAAAGUGUUCUUGUUACUUUCAGACUAGGGUAUAGUUGCUGAGUGAAUACAGAAAAGUGAUAAAGAAAAUAUAUACGAAGAACUUCAAGAUAUUCAAAUAUAAAUCUAGUUUCCUUUAGUAUGUAUAUAUGUGUACAUAUUUGUGUGUAUAUAUAGAGUCUGCCAAAAAAAUGUAUACACACACUUCAAGAAAAGAAAAAUAGUGCGAUGUUUUUUCAACAGAUGGUGUUACCCUCGUAUGGGGGACCCUAGAGGAUGUCAUAUAUCACAGAAAACCCACUAUACUGCGGCCCUUAGAGAAGAAAUUGAAAUUGCAUGUGCAGCAAUCUUAGUGACCAAGGUUACCCAAACAGCAGUUGGCCAUACUAAUCAAUGUCUAGAAGCUGAUGGCCACCACUUUGAGCACUUCUAGUAGAGGCCAAAGGUAACUUGUAUUAAUCUCAUGAUGUCUCAAUAAAUUUAGUAUUAAAAUAUUUAUACAAGUUUUUCUUUUCCUGAAGUAUGUAUAACAUUUUGGGUGGACUCAGUAUAUGUGAAUAAACACAGAUGCACACACUUACAAAAUUUAUUCGCUAGUAACUACUUAGAGCUGGUUCCUAACUAAAAGCCAUGUUUUUGAUCCUCUCCAUAAAUCUUUCUCCAGUGAAAACACCUUCUCUCUGAAGCUCAUGAGAAUUCAAUUUGCAAGAGUCUUGUGGUAGGGAGUUCAAAUGUGCCUACAGAUAUUUAAAGCAGGACUCUUUCUAAAUAACAUAUUUUCUGUUCUUGAAGUAAGAACUGAAAUUGUAUUCUUGAUUACUUUCAGACCAUAAGCUACUACUCUCAUUGUGCUACAACAUGCAUGUGGGACCAAGGGGAUGAUUCAAACACACACAUAUAAUAGGAGUAGUAAUUGGUUGUGUUCAGCUGAGAGAAAGAGAGAGACAGGGAGGGUGGGGAACAAGAGAGAAAUAAUGAGAGAACAUGACAGAAAUAAUGAGAAUGGGGUGGGAGUGCUUCUUUUUUUCAAUCUGGCUCAAGAGUGAGAAAAAUCUAUUAUACUUUGUCAUAUCAGCUGUUUCUUCUAUAAAAAAUGAGUCAUGUGGGCCGGGGAUUUAGCUAGGUGGUUUCGUCGCCUGCUGCUCAAGUGCAAGGACCCGAGUUCGAUCCCCGGUACCAAAAAAAAAAAAGUCAUGUUAUGAUGGACCAUUGGAAUUGAAAUAAGAAAUGACUAUUAAAACUCCAACUAUAAGCAUGGAAGAUGGAAUACACAUUAGUCUAAAAAAACCUAAACAUACAAACUCAUUCAUAAGCUGGGGGGGGUGGCACAUGUCUGUAAUCCUAGCAUUUGGGAGGCUGAGGCAGGAGAAUCGCUACAAGUUCAAGGCCAUCCUGGGCUACAAUAGUGAGUUCAAGGACAGCCUGAACUACACAAUGGGACCCUGUCUCAAAAAAAAAAAAAAAACUAAAUAAAUUUAAAAAUAAAAACAACAACAUAUAUAAUCUAAAUGGAUUUGCCUUUCUACAAUAGCAUCUUCAUCAAAAGUUAAACAAAAUAAGCCAGAAUCAGAAAGUCAAACAUCA
ensembl:lncRNA